AUUGAACGCUGGCGGCAUGCCUAACACAUGCAAGUCGAGCGGAUGAAGGGAGCUUGCUCCUGGAUUCAGCGGCGGACGGGUGAGUAAUGCCUAGGAAUCUGCCUGGUAGUGGGGGAUAACGUCCGUAAACGGGCGCUAAUACCGCAUACGUCCUGAGGUAGAAAGGGGGGGAUCUUCGGACCUCACGCUAUCAGAUGAGCCUAGGUCGGAUUAGCUAGUUGGAGGGGUAAAGGCCUACCAAGGCGACGAUCCGUAACUGGUCUGAGAGGAUGACCAGUCACCUGGGACCUGAGCCACGUCCCAGCCCCUUAGGGGCGGCACCAGUGGGAAACAUCGGAAAUGGGGCGAAAGCUUGCUGAAGCCAGGCAGCGUGUGUGAAGAAGGUCUUCGGAUGGUAAAGCACUUUAAGUUGGGAGGAAGGGCAGUAAGUUAAUACCUCGCUGUUUGGAGGUGACCAAUAGAAUAAGCACCGGUAAACUUGGG
rnacentral:rRNA from 1 species